GCCGGUAACAAAAUAAUGGGUUCAGCAAAACUGAAAAGUCUUUAAUGCUUUAUUUUCUUUCUCUGUUGGUGUCUAUCAGUCAACUCUUCUUCCUCGAUGUUCAUCAUGAUUCAAGUUUGUUUGGAAGAUCCUUAUUCGAAAUCCAGACCAAAAGAGGAGAUUUUGUGUUUAUCAAAACAAUUCACUCUAUUCUAAGAGCCAAAUCGAUAUACUCGAAAUAAAGAUCGACCAUCACCUGAGGAUAUUUCAAUGGCUUUGGUUGAAAAUUACUUUUUGUAGACAUGUGAAUGGAGAUUCCCUUCAAACCUGCUCGGCUGAUUCUACAGGGCUCAACUGGUGUCCCUGCAGUUGUGUAAAUAGUUUGCAUGAGAGUAGCCACGGAUAAUGGCAAUGUUGAUUCUACUGCGUUCAUACUGAGAUUGAUUGAUAUUAUAUUUGUUUUAAAUUGGGGAUAUGUUUUGUUUCAUGUAUGUAGACUACUGAUCCCGCUGUCAUUGAGAAUCUUCAAUAUUCAUGGAUUCAACUAUGGUCAAAAGCAAGAAAUAUAUUUAACCAUCAAAUGCCGUGAACAGAGGUAGAUGAUAUUUUAUAGUCCAGUAUAUGGCUGUGAUGAAACAUAGUGCAUGCGUAAAUGGAGUAAUACGUAUGGCAAAUUAGAGAGGAGAGUACUCAUGUAUUACGUACUACUAUGUUAGUUUUAAUAUAAGGUAGUUUGAUAUAAAAGGGCCAGCGAUUAAUUGUAUAAGAUUGGAUGGUAAUGGCAUUUGAUGUAAAUACUCUAGUGAAUAAAGGGUGGUUAAUUAUGUAAGCUGAGAAGGACUAUAAGACUGUCACCUCAGCAUGGCAUGCUUGUAAAUAAUUUACAUUUCAAAGGUUAUUUUUUUCAAA